ACCCAACCACCAGCUGGCCAGCAUAGAAGACCAAUGGGGACUGCCCGGCAACCACAAAGUUCCCAAAGCUCACCCUCAGCCUCCCGCCCUCCCGUUAUCACAACAGGAAAGAGCACUGACAAGUUGCCAGAAAUUAUUUCUCACCCAGAGGCUCACUUUCCCAGCUCCUUCGGAGGCAUCUGCCCCAUAUGAUUGCACACCCAGGGAGUUAAACUGCUGGCAUGAAGUAGAACAGAGUUUGAAAGUGAUUGUCAAGCAGCGCUAAUUCAGAUGUAACCAGCACAACCCUCCUGGCUGGCUCAACCACACAGCGGAAACCUGGUUAGUUUUUAAAGGUUAUUAUUUUUUUUUAAAUGCUUGAACUAGAGAUGUUUCCUGAAGAGAGUUAAAGGACUUCUUGGUGAAAUCUGUUCUCCUUCUCCUGCAUUCAUUCCAUCUCAGUGGAAGGUGGUUUGCUAUUAAAAGUAAAGAUAAUCUAUUAUCACUAUGAGUCUUGAACUGCCAGGGGGAAGCCUGUAGCUGACUGGGAGGAAAGGCUGAUAACCUGCAUUUAAAGAAAAAAAAAUAUCAAUUGCCAGUUGGUGUCUUGCCAUCAGUCAGAAAUGCAGCAUAAAUUUGUUCACAGUCAGAGGGACUGGGUCCCUUGGAGAAUUUGCAGUGGGAUUUGAAGUCUUCCUAUUUACCUCUGGGUGAUUAGUUAGAGCCCAGUUUGGAUCUGCAGUGACUGAGAUGGUUAUUUUUAUCAAGCUCUUUGGUGACAGGUGUCCGUAUUACAAGAAACAAAUUGGCACUAAUUGGGCACUCCCGUUGGCAUCUUGGCAGCAGAGAGCAACCACGGCUUGAUUUAGGGAAACUGCACAUUUACAGGCAGGAGACACCUGUGCUGGACAUACCCAAUCUGUUUUGUUGCUGCUGUUUAUUUGUUUUUGUUUGAUUCAAGAAUUUGAGAUAUGCUAAUUUUAAGUGUGGCAGUUUUCACUAGCAUUCUCUCCCAGCCCAUCACACAAACACAUAUCCAUGAGAGAAUUCUUCAAAACAGCAUGCUGAUCAAAGGCCUGUCAAUCUGUUUAUCUGGGAUCAUCAAUGAGAGGCGUUGGACAGUAACCCCACAAGGAUCAAGACAGUCUCACUCUGUCGCCCAGGCUGGAGUCCAGUGGUGCAAUCUCGGCUCACCGUAACUUCCGCCUCCCAAGUUCAAGCGAUUCUCCAGUAUCAGUCUCCUGAGCUCCUGGGGUCUUACAUCAGUCACCAUGGAUGCUCCACCUCAUCUGCUAGCCUUAUCUGACUGUACCUGCUACCAGAGAGGAUGGUGUCUGGCAUUCCAUCGCAGCUUCCCAGUACAGAUACCUACUGCUCCCUUCUUCUCUGAUGGGGUCUUCUAGUGACAUCAAAGAAGCUUGCUCCACACAACGAGGAAUCCAUUCCAAGACUGAGGGAUUCCACAACUUACUUGAUAUUUUAGUCAAGCGAAUAACAGAAAAGACCAGCUUCCUGAACAUAGACAGCAGCUCUUGCAUCAUGGAACAGUGAGCCCAGAAAAGAGAAUGAUACGACUGAUAAACCACAGGAUCAAAAACUUCCCCAUAGUUCCAGUUCCCUGUGGUUUGGAAACUAAAUGAAACACCUUCCUCCAACACUGUGGAAUCAGAAAGAACCCUGGAGCCAGCUCCCAAGAAAUAGAAAUGACAGAACUUUAUGGUCUGCCCCUU